rnacentral:rRNA from 1 species
GACGUUGAUCCCGGAAGCGUUACUGGUCCUAAUUAGGCGUAAAGUGUAGCUAGACUGCCGACGAAGUUUUGUUCUAAAGCGGGAGGUUAGAUCAUGUUGAACAUUAUACCGUCGUGCUCGGAGUAUACCUGAGAUUUCUGGCACAUGUGUCUUAGCGAUAAAAUGCGAUGAGGGCAUUAAGGGCAUUCCAGUGGCCACGGCAAGAUACAGGUAUAUCUCGACGUCGAACUACUAAAGUAUGGACUCCGAAGAGGAUUAGGGACCCUUGUAGCCCAUACCCUGAAUUCAUGAACAUUGAUCGGUAUACCAGGUACCGAUUAAGCUAACGCGUAAAUGUAUCGCCUGGGUAAUAUAGUCGCAAGAUUGAAAGCUAAUUAGAUUGGCGGGAGCUUGUAUAAAUAAUGGGGCACGUGGCUUAAUUCGACAAUACACGUAAAACCUUACCAGUGAAAGGAGGGACCUGGCGCGCACUGUUCAAGGUGCCGUGGGGGGUCCUCCUACUUUACAGUGCUGCAUGGCUGUCGAAAAUUCAUGCCGUGAGGUUUUGCGUUUGGUCGCCUAAUGGAUGCAAUCUAUGGAUUUUAUGCCAGUCAAAAUAUUCUUAGUUUUUUGAAUUUUAUGAUGGUUUGUAAGGUCUUUUGGGCGGGGUGCUCAGCUCUACUUGGGGCACCCGCCCGUAAGUCUAGGGCACGUCAAGUCAACAUGGUCUUUAUGUGCUGGGCCGCACAUGUGCCACAAUGGCAAAUACAGAAUGAGGCGAUGGUUUAAUCCAAAGCAAUCAUAUAAAAAUUGUCACAGUUCGGAUUGUAUGCUGCAAGUCGUAUACAUCAAGUUGUAAUUAUUAGUAAUCGCGGGUAGAGUGCCGCGGUGAAUAUUAUUCUAGCUUUGCACACACGCCCAUCACGCUGGUGGAGAUGCCGUUAUAUGACAUCUAUGGCUAUACUCUAUUACAAUCUACCACCCGGUAAUCGCGUCUCUCUUUAAUUACAAAGGUACAAUAGUAUUGUAGUGGCGAGUUAUUGUAGAACCUAUUAUCGUGAUUGGGAUUAUACCUUUCGAUUAGUAUAACGUUGUCAACUUCAGCUAAGUUG